rnacentral:rRNA from 1 species
CGCUGGCGGCAGGCUUAACACAUGCAAGUCGAACGAGAUCUUCGGAUCUAGUGGCGCACGGGUGAGUAACGCGUGGGAAUCUACCUUGGAGUCUGGGAUAACAGUUGGAAACGACUGCUAAUACCGGAUACGCCCUUAGGGGGAAAGGUUUACUGCUCCGAGAUGAGCCCGCGUCCAAUUAGGUAGUUAGUGAGGUAAAGGCUCACCAAGCCGACGAUUGGUAGCUGGUCCGAGAGGAUGAUCAGCCAGACUGGGACUGAGAACGGCCCAGACUCCUACGGGAGGCAGCAGUAGGGAAUUUUCCACAAUGGACGAAAGUCUGAUGGAGCAACGCCGCGUGCAGGAUGAAGGCUUUCGGGUCGUAAACUGCUUUUAUCUGUGAAGAUUAUGACGGUAGCAGAUGAAUAAGGAUCGGCUAACUCCGUG